rnacentral:rRNA from 1 species
CCUACGGGGGGCUGCAGUGGGGGAUAUUGCACAAUGGGGGGAACCCUGAUGCAGCGACGCCGCGUGGGUGAAGGAGCGUUUCGGCGCGUAAAGCCCUAUCGGCAGGGAAGAAGAUGACGGUACCUGACCAAGAAGCCCCGGCUAACUACGUGCCAGCAGCCGCGGUAAUACGUAGGGGGCAAGCGUUAUCCGGAUUUACUGGGGGUAAAGGGGGCGCAGACGGGAAUGCAAGCCAGGAGGGAAAGCCGGGGGCCCAACCCCGGGACUGCUGUUGGAACUGCAUUGCUGGAGUACGGGAGGGGCAGGCGGAAUGCCUGGUGUAGCGGUGAAAUGCGGAGAUAUUAGGAGGAACACCGGUGGCGAAGGCGGCCUAUUGGACUGUAACUGACGUUGAGGCCCGAAGGUGUGGGGAGCGAACAGGAUUAGAUACCCGGGUAGUC